rnacentral:rRNA from 1 species
UACGGGGGGGGUAAGCGUUGUUCGGAAUUACUGGGCGUAAAGGGCUCGUAGGCGGCCACCUAAGUCAGACGUGAAAUCCCUCAGCUUAACUGGGGAACUGCGUCUGAUACUGGAUGGCUUGGAUUCGGGAGAGGAAUGCGGAAUUCCAGGUGUAGCGGUGAAAUGCGUAGAUAUCUGGAGGAACACCGGUGGCGAAGGCGGCAUUCUGGACCGACAUUGACGCUGAGGAGCGAAAGCCAGGGGAGCAAACGGG